rnacentral:rRNA from 1 species
AUGGCCACUAAACCAGAGGCUCUACAUAAUAAUGAUGAAGAUCUAAAAGUGAUUAAUGUGACUCCUAUUAAAUCUUUGUUUUCCAAUAUGAAUCUUGAUAAAGAUGGGACUGGAGAUGAGUCAACUUUAGUUAAAAGGCGUCCCAAUGAUUUGGAGUUUUUAGAUCUAGAUGCAAAGAUUGAUAAAAGUGGGAUUGAAGAGCAGGAGGACGAGGUGGUGAACGGCAACAUGCUCCCCUAUUGCACCAUCGUCGGCAAGAAGAAGAAGACCAUCGGGGAGAUGGAGCAGGAGUUCCUACGAGACCUACAAGCCAUCAUGUCUAACGAGGAGUUCAACAACCUCAAGGAGGAGCUCAUGUGGGAAGGCAGCAACCUCGUCCUGCUAAGCGCCGAUGGGCAAAGGCUGCUGGAAGCCUCCAUGGCCUACAUCACCGGCAACCCCAUCAUGUCUGACGCGGAAUUCUACGAGCUCAAGCUCAGACUCAAGCAAGACGAAAGCGACAUCAUGACGAAAGGUCCGAGGUGCACUCUACGGAGUCAGAAGCUCCUCCUCCCUCUCACUUCCAUGUCUCUUCAAUCCAUCUAUUUCUCUAACAUUUUCCUUAAUGUCACGAUUGUCACGAUUCCCCCCUUUACUUUUAUAGGACUUUGGCUUUGCAUUUCUCUUUGUUUGAUGUCGCAAAUGCAUAUUUACAAUGACCGGUCUGGUAGAGACAACACAUCAUCAUUUUCUGACCUUGCAUUUGGUACAACUAGCAUUUUUUCUUCUCUAAUAUACAAUAUCUUUCUAAUUUUGAUGGUUUAUUGA